rnacentral:rRNA from 1 species
UACGAAGGGGGGCUAGCGUUGCUCGGAAUCACUGGGCGUAAAGCGCACGUAGGCGGCUUUUUAAGUCAGGGGUGAAAUCCUGGAGCUCAACUCCAGAACUGCCUUUGAUACUGAGAGCUUGAGUUCGGGAGAGGUGAGUGGAACUGCGAGUGUAGAGGUGAAAUUCGUAGAUAUUCGCAAGAACACCAGUGGCGAAGGCGGCUCACUGGCCCGAUACUGACGCUGAGGUGCGAAAGCGUGGGAGCAACAGGAUAGAACCUGAUACG